GUCAACAACCCCACUCAACUGGCGGGAUGGGGCUUGUUAAAGCCCCUAACCCAGAGUGAGUUUAGUUGACGGGCCUCAGACGCGGUCAGCGUCUACGUUCAGAGCAAGUGUUAAAGUUCUUACCUGGGGAUGCGUCGCUAUCGCUAGUAGUCCCCAGCUCUAAA
rnacentral:sRNA from 20 species